rnacentral:rRNA from 1 species
CCUACGGGGGGCUGCAGUAAGGAAUAUUGGUCAAUGGGCGCAAGCCUGAACCAGCCAUGCCGCGUGAAGGAUGACGGCCCUAUGGGUUGUAAACUUCUUUUGUACGGGAAAAAACCACCGGUCGUGUAUCGGUGCUGAUGGUACCGUAAGAAUAAGCAUCGGCUAACUCCGUGCCAGCAGCCGCGGUAAUGCGGAGGAUGCAAGCGUUAUCCGGUUAAAGGGGGCUUAGGCGGUGCACAGGCGGAGUGGUGAAAGCCUACAGCUUAACUGUAGAACUGCCAUUGAUACUGUUAUUCUUGAGUGUUGUUGAGGUAGGCGGAAUGUGUCAUGUAGCGGUGAAAUGCUUAGAUAUGACACAGAACACCGAUCGCGAAGGCAGCUUACCAAGCAACAACUGACGCUCAUGCACGAAAGCGUGGGGAUCAAACAGGAUUAGAUACCCCUGUAGUC